ACUGGUUUGGCUCAGUGGAUGGAGCGUCGGCCUGCGGACUCAGGGGUCCCGGGUUCGAUUCUGGUCAGGGGCAUGUGCCUUGGUUGCGGGCGCAUCCCCAGUGGGGGUGUGCAGGAGGCAGCUGGUCGAUGUUUCUAACUCUCUAUCCCUCUCCCUUCCUCUCUGUAAAAAAUCAAUAAAAUAUAUUUUUUAAAAAAAACA